rnacentral:rRNA from 1 species
AUUGAACGCUGGCGGCAUGCUUUACACAUGCAAGUCGAACGGUAACAGGCCGCAAGGUGCUGACGAGUGGCGAACGGGUGAGUAAUGCAUCGGAACGUGCCCAGUCGUGGGGGAUAACGCAGCGAAAGCUGCGCUAAUACCGCAUACGAUCUAUGGAUGAAAGCGGGGGACCGAAAGGCCUCGCGCGAUUGGAGCGGCCGAUGUCAGAUUAGGUAGUUGGUGGGGUAAAGGCUCACCAAGCCAACGAUCUGUAGCUGGUCUGAGAGGACGACCAGCCACACUGGGACUGAGACACGGCCCAGACUCCUACGGGAGGCAGCAGUGGGGAAUUUUGGACAAUGGGCGCAAGCCUGAUCCAGCAAUGCCGCGUGCAGGAAGAAGGCCUUCGGGUUGUAAACUGCUUUUGUACGGAACGAAACGGCUCUCUCUAAUACAGGGGGUUAAUGACGGUACCGUAAGAAUAAGCACCGGCUAACUACGUGCCAGCCGCCGCAGUAAUAC